AUAUGUAUAGGAAGGAGGACAAGAAGACUUUGACAGUAGACAGAUGAACUUUCUUGAUCAAACACAGAGAAAUUCAACUCGGAGAAAGAAAGAAGAUAUGUCACCAUUAUUACAGAGCACAAACAAAUCCAAUAAAAAUUGACAGCGGCUGUGCCAAAGCACUUUGUCGUUGAAAAGUGAAAAAAUGAUAGAUGUUACAAAUUAACAUACCAAAUCUGAAUAUUCACCCCAACAAUGUUUUAAUGGUGUGAUUUUACAAGCGUAAAUGUAAUAUUAGGUAAUAAACUCCUCUAGAAAUUAAAGUAACUAGAAAAACACUCAGAGAGUACAGCACUCCGCCAAGGCUGCUCAGUUGUAUCAUUUCCGAUGGCUGAAAUAUUUAACAAAUCUGUGGAUCCAGACAUUAAGCCGGAUCAGUGCCAAAAUCUUGGUCCUUGUGUCAUUUCUGAUCUUUCCUGAAAAUUUCAUCCAAAUCCGUUUUUGAGUAAUGUAGACAGACAGACAGAUAGACGCCGAUUGUCACAUAACUUCUUGGCAGAGUAAAUAUGGAGCAUUACCAACUUAAUUUCCAAAAAGGCUCAGAACCAACAGUGUUAUUAAUUAUGGAGAAUAAACUGACUCAUUUACAGCUAAAGUUGUGAUCUUGCAAAAAUAUGCAUGCAAACAUAAAACCAAGGAUUUCUUGAAUUCCUUGUAAACAAGCUAUCUCUUUAUUUUAGUUUUUCUGCUUUGUGUUUUUGUUUAAAAUUUAUCCUAUUUUGUUUUAUUUUCAGAGCCAGAAGAAAUGUAGAUGACAUUCACAUCAGCUAUAUAUGAGGAAACCUCAAAUCAUUGCAGAGACAUAAAAAGGUCCAUGCAGGUGGUGAACCUCUGGGACACAAGCAUGCCUUACAUACAUAGCGUAUCAAAGUUUGAUCUCAAAACUUUAUUGAAAUAAAUGUUAACCAGCAUGGUAAACAGACCCUUAAAAUCCAUAAAUUUCAUAAAAUGCCCUUUAUUUGGUAAUUUAAUAAUCAAGAUUUACAUGAAAAUUUUUCACAAAUCCAUAUAAAAAUAUAAAUAAUAUCAGUCACUCACAGCAGCAUAUGCCCUCACCUCCAAAAAUAUUGGAACAGUGAGGCCAGUUCCAUUAUAUUUGCUGUAGACUGAAAACAUUUGGGUUUGACAUCAAAUGAUGAAUAUGAGAUAAGAGAUCAACAUUUCAGCUUUUGUUUACAGGUAUACAUCUGGAUCUGAUACACAACUUAGAAGAUAGCAUUAUUUGUAACAGAGCACCAAAUUUUUAGGCUUUCACUGCGACCUCUUUCAGUUGUUGUUUGUUUUGAGGGGUUACUCAAUUCUGUCAGGGUCCUCUCCUCACCCUAUUCCUGCCUAGCAUCCCAAAUACCCCAUCCUAUCCAUCUCCCUCCUUUUUCUCUCCCUCUCUUGCUCGCCUCUCCCUCUGCUCUCUCCUCAGUGCUGCACCUGAGUGGAGUGUGGCUUCACAGCUGCCUUCACUCAGGUGAUUACCCACCUCUCCCAGGAUCCAGGCAGCUGUGGCUCGUCAGCUGAUUACACACAACCUGCAAUAAAAGAACAGCUCAUCCUCCCACAGUCUGUCAGAUUGUUAAACUAGAUGCUACUGUCAGUUGCUCGCUAGCCACACUGGUUCUCUCUGCGGUUUCAGAGAUAAGCCAUACUUGCAUGCUUUUCUGUUCUCUUCUCCACGAGAAGACCCAGCUGCCUGGAACCCCGCCUGAUCUGCCUGUCUCCCCGAAAUCCCUCCGAACCCCUCCUGGACUCCGUCGGCACCAAGCUUUUCCCCUUGUGCUUUGUGUCAUCUAGCCGCACGAUGAAGGAUCUACCUGUCACUUUGGUUCUAUCUUUCUUUAAACUGGCAGACAAAAUGUUUCGGUAGACUUCUGAGUUUAUUUUGCUGCUGUCAUCAUGUGUUCCAUUUAUCAAUGAAGAUUAAUGAGCCUGUCUCAUUCUAGCCUGGCCUUCCUAUUCUUCUUGCUAAUGAGUGGCUUGCAUCUUCUGGUGUAGCCUCUAUACAUUUGUUCAUGAAGUCUGCUGUGAACAGUAGAUUGUGAUACCUUUACACCUGCUCUCUGGAGAUUGUUGCUGAUGUCACUAACAGUUUUUUUAGGGUAUUUCUUUACAGCUCCCACAAUUGGUCUACCCAUUCCAUGUUUGUUACUUAUUACACCAGUGUUUUUUUUCUUCUUCAGGACAUUCCAAAUGGUUGUACUGGCUAUGGCCAAUUUUUGUGCAAUGGUUUGAUGGUUUUGAUUGAUUUUUCAUCUUCUCUCAGCUUCACAAUUGCUUGCUUUUCACCCAUAGACAGCUCUCUAGUUUUCAUGUUGGUUACACUUCAUACAAUAGAUGCAGUCUGCACAGGCAAAAUCCAAAUACAUGCAGACUGAAACAUGCCACUGCUUCUCAAUAGCCCAACACACACUUGAGUUGAAAUCUUAACAUUUCAGAGAAGCUCUACUUAAAGUGGACCACCACACCUUACUGGAUGCAGUAUAUUUCUUUUUUUUCUUCUUCUUCUUCUUCUUUUUUUUUAAACAUGGUGACUAUAAACUAAAGCUGAGUUUAAAAACCUGGCAAGACCCUAAGGAUCUGUAUCCGUCUGGGAAUGUUCCAUGUGUAAUGUUUUAACUGGUUUAUGGUUAUUUGUUUAUGAAUAUGCAGCAUUAAUAAACAGUAUCAGUGGACACGAGAUCUUGUGUUAAAGUGUGUAUGCUGCCAAAGUCUAGUUUUAUACACAUUUGAGAUCAAUGUGAACGUAUCAGAAAUAAGCACAUUGUACUCCAGCAUGGGAAAACUACACAUUUGAAAAAGUUAGAGUGGGGAGUUACCAUUGAGCAUGUUUACCCUUGAUUAUCUAACCAUGGCAUUACCUCUGGUGCAAAACUAAAAUUAAACUGUGCUUCCAUGUGGACAAUUUUACAGUAAUUGUUUUUCGUUUGGGGGUGCACAGUAGCUUAGUGGUUAGCACUGUCGCAUCACAGCUCGAAGAACCGGCCUUCCCAGGUUCUUUUUGCAUGGAGUUUGCAUGUUCUCCCUGUGCAUGCGUGGGUUUUCUCCAGGUUGUCCAGCUUCCACCCAUAGUCCAAAACAUGCUGAGGUUAAUUGGUGAUUCUAAAUUGUCUGUAGGUAUGAAUAGGAGUAUGAUUGUUUGUCUCUAUGUGUAACCCUGUGAUGGACUGGUGACAUGUCCAGGGCCUGCCUUCAGCCCAAGCCAGCUGGGAUAGACUCCAGCCCUCCCAUGACCCUAAUGAGGAUUAAGCCGUGUAUAGAUAAUGGAUGGAUGGAUGUUUGUAGUGUAGACCAGGGCCACUGGUUUGCUAUCUGGGGGUGUCAGUGUUGCAAUAUUUUGUUUUGUUUUUUUUGUUGUCAAUUACAGUAACAAAAUGACUGGGACAUCUAUAAUCUAUGUCAAUAAAAAUAUAAUAAUGUUGAA